AGUCACUGACAUUAGAUACCCGCGUAGUCCAGGGUGUAAACGCUGCAGACUUGGUGUUGGGAACCCUUCGGGGGUGCUCAGUGCCGGAGAGAAGUUGUUAAGUCUGCUACUUGGGAGUACGUCCGCAGGGAUGAAACUUAAAGGAAUUGGCGGGGGAGCACCGCAACGGGAGGAGCGUGCGGUUUAAUUGGAUUCAACGCCGAAAAACUCACCAGCAGCGACUGUUACAUGAAAGUCAGGUUGAUGACCUUACUAGAUUUUCAG
rnacentral:rRNA from 1 species